UUGAACUCACAGAGAUCUUCCUGGCUCUGCCUCCCGAGUGCUGGGAUUAAAGGCAUGUACCACCAUUGCCAGGCUUACAACUGUAGAUUUUUAAGGCAUGUGGAUGUUACAGAGAACCUUAUGUUAGUGUAAUUAUCGCCUGGUUGUGCAUAAUUAAGAAACAUAAUUGCAUAUAUAUUUUUUUGCAGUUAGUUAUUGUGCAUUAUUUGAUGACUGUGCUACAUUUUAUGGACCUACCCUUUCAUGAAAUCACGUAGGUGAUUUUGGGUAUGUUCCUGUGAAGAGGUGCAGAGGUGGGUUCCUUCUAGAAGCUCAGUGAUCUGUCUCCUUAUGUUUCCAGUAUAUCCUGAUGGUCUGAGUUGGAGCAUAGCUGACUAGCUUUGUUCCUGUGACUUCUGUGUUAACUGAGACGGGUUUUACUAUUGCAGCUCUGCUCUGCUUACGAUGCAGUUCUGGAACUAUCUUUGUGUUUUGUUGUUGUUUUAAGUAGCGAAGUCUUCGGUGGCUUGUGAGAGUUCUACUUGUGUAAUCUCUGUUUACUGAAUGUUGACAUGUACAUUUUACCGCCAGUUCUCUCAGUCCUAUAGCUUUUAGCCUGUCUCGUGACUUCUCCCCUCCUGCCCCCAUUACCAAAGACAUUCUGAUGUCGCGACUCAGACAAAAAUUAACCAAGAGAGACAUCAGAAUAGAACACUAUCUGGGAAUAAAGGAGUUUGAUGUAGGCCUUUUGAAAAUCUAAGAUGUAGGCAGACAGAAGGGAGAUGGUUCUUUCACAGAAGUGAGAAACAGAACAAAGGCCAAAGCAAGGAUGAAAACAUAGCAUUCAAAAGGAGUGUGGCAACAGAUUCAUAACCACGUUCCAGUGGAAGUCUGAUCUCUGUAGCGCUGUGAGUGCCUUAGAGCCCAGGAAGCUAGGCAGUCCUUCACAUACCUGCUUCUCCCUACAUGAAAUUCUGUCCACUGAGGAUAUAUCCAGGAAUCUGCAUCUCUAGCAGGCAUCUAAGUGAGCUCAGAAUGAUGGAAUCCUGCUUUAGGGAACCACUGUGGCUCAGGUGCAGAGCCCAUACUUCUGCAGCUCUGGGAGCUCGCAGCGGAGUCUUCAGAUUUAAGAGGAGAAGGCUAUGCUAUCUCUGGAAGAUUCCUUCCGGGCUGCUGAGGAAUCAUCAGAGGCUACCAUGUGGGAGGGGAGUAGCAAGCAGAAAUUCAAGGUAGAACUUUUCCAGGGCUGAAGAUAUGGAUAGCUAAGAACUGCUGAGAAAUUCCAAAGAACUUUUCUUAUUCUUCUUUUUUACAUUUGUCAUUCAUUAAAAUGUUUUUAGAAAGACAAGCUUUUUAAUCCAUUCUUCCAAAGUUCUUAUAAAAGAGCCUCAUAGAUAUUUCAAGUAACCUCAGGUCAGAGAUUGAGCCCGAAGAGAGGUUUGACUUGGGAUCCAUGAACCCUAAAUGUACUGGAGGCCAUUGAACCAGUUCCCCGAAAUAGUAGAAUGGUGCAGACAUUUGUUUUAUGGGGAGAGGAGCUGUAGCCUUGACCUCAUCCUCAAAGAUACCCUCACUGAGAUUUGUCAAAGAAUACAGAGCUACUGGGAGUUGUAGUUGGGGAAGGAAUGGCUGUCUGUCUUGUAGAAAAUGUUCCAUUUGUUUCUCUGUGGGUGGGCCGCCAUCAUUAAUAAUUGGGAAAGAGGAAGAGAAAAAGAAGCAUUUUGUGGCAUAUAUGAUAAUUUUUUUUAUUCCUUGUGCAGCUCUUUCAGUGAUUUUGGCUGAAGUACAAAGAGAUAGCAAUUUUAGCAGCAGAGAGGUGAAUUACUAUCAGGUUUGGCACUGAGGGGAAAAAGCUGGUGUGAGAAGCAGGAUCAUGUGUGAAAGGGUUCCUCAAGUGUUUCAUGAUAAAGAUUCAUCAGAACAGUUAGCCCUCUAACCAGGCUACAGUCUCUGGCUUCUGAUUCCUUUGUGGAAUUAAAAAUGCUUUUAGGAAGAGGCACUAAACAAGCCUUUUGUUUGGAUUUCCAUAUAUAGAUUUAUGGACCUGGUGAGCAUCCUGCUGUGAACUCCCUCUGCCGAUGGCAACCAUCACAAUGAACAAAGCUUUUCUGAAUUGGCACUUCCACGAACCCUGUAGGCUGCGAUAUUGGGUGUGACAAUUUUUAAAAGCCACUGUGCUAGAAUGAAAACAGGUCAUUUCUAAAUGGUCUUUUGAUUUGCAAAACCUCUUUGUGUCAGACUGAAUAGUCUCAUAUCUGAGUUGGAGGCGGGGAGAUGCUGACCACUUUCAAUUUAUUAUUAUGUCUUGAAGCUUUGGGUGGACAUUUCAGUGGUGGUGCAUACCUCCUGUGGAAAGUCUGCUUGCACCUCAAGCCUUAGCCAUACAUGUGAAAAUCCAAUUCAUUAUUUUACAUGAUAAAAGACUUCUAAAGUUCCACUACAAUGUGAGUCACCAUGAUUGUGGAUUUAGAAAGCCUAAUUAUGACUCCAGCUCACCCAUAAACUUGUAGAACACCUCUCCACCGAUGCUCUGUACUGGACUAUUUUGGGAGGAGUUUUUUAGGUGGCUUUUAUGUUAGGCCAGUAGGGAUAGUGUUCAAUCUUAGAAUGGUUGUGAGUUCUCCAUAAGAAUUAUAAAUGGAAGAGGGUAGAGACAGUUCAGUGGUUAAGAGCACUCGCUGCUCUUCCAGAGGACCUGAGUUCAGUUCUUAACACCUAGGUCAGGCAGCUCACAACCACCUGUAACUCUAGCUCUGGGCACCUUGUGGCCUCUUGUCUUAAUAUCUUUUCUGAUGAGGGCUGAGUCCUGUGUUUUUCACACCUUUAAGAUAGGUGGUUUUGUUGUUGUUGUUGUUUCUUGUGAUUUCCAAUUAUAAAAAUAGUUAUUAAACAUAAUAAAGGUGGUUGUAGUAUCUGCUGCAUGACAGAUGUCCCCGCCAAAUGAGGACUGUCAAGGAAAAAGACAGGUCUGACAAUUACAAAUACUUUCUGCUGCAGAUACACAGUGUGAUCCAUCUUGUCAGAGGAGUUAUUUUUUGUCUUCAGGCUGGAGUGUGUAUUGGGCCAUUUUUUUAAACUUGUUUUUAAUCUAUACUUUAUGACAUGACUGUGGUACCACCUUUUAGUGAAAGGUAUGGAGAUCCUGGAAGUGACUAUAGCCAGACACAGAGUCAAAGUCUAGUUUAAACUGUCAGUUUUAAUGGCGAAAAUGUACUUGGCUGUACACAUGAAAGAAGUGCAGGCUUGGGAGUUGUGCAUGUUACUGGCUUGAUGUCAAGUCGUGCCACAGGUAGAGAUCCGUGAAAGCGUUGGCCCCAUCUCUGUAUGUGGAACAGGACGGCCUAGCAUAUCUUAGCAAGCAGUGCACACAGGGAGUAGAUGUGGCGCUUAAUGGGGCAUCACAGCGUAAUUGUGUGGUGUAAGCUUUCCUCUCACCAGCAUUUCAGCAAACUGAACUGAAAGCUGCCCAAGAACCUUUUGUCUCCCGUAUUGCUAUACAAACUGUGUCUGUCAGAAGCGUGUCUUGAGCAGCUGAAGCACAGGAUUCCGGACAUGGUGCUCAACAGAAGAACCUCUGCACUAAAGCUGAGGAGACAUCUUGUAAGGAAAAUAUAAAAAAGCUGUUGUUUAAAAUCAGUUUUGACUAUUUACAAAUUUCCCUCCUCCAUGUUUUCCUCCACAGGUCUUGGCUUAGAGAAAACAAAAUAAAUCAUUUUUAUUUUUUCUUACAUGUCUGACUUUUGAAUUGGACACAGAGGAAAUGAAAAAAGGCUAAGAAUGGAGUAGCAAAAACCUCAUCAUGUAGGUAGCUCUGGAAAAUGAAGUCUUUGUCUCUGAGAACUAUGUGUAGACAUUAGUAAAUGGUGCAGCACGUGAAGCCAUAAGUGGCCCCAGCGCUCUGCGGACGGGCACGUACACAGCUGAUGGAUAGAUAGAAGCAGUUGUCCUCCACCUGAUAGGCUAAUGGCAGCCAAUAAUUUGAGGAAUGUUUCUUAAUUGCCCAUUUGUUUCCAUUGUUUGUUUAGGGAAGCGUCACCAGAUUGUUACCAUGGUGUCUCCCAUCAAAGGAAAUUCAGUAUUAGCAGACUUAAUAUCAAUUUCUGGUCUGAUGGCAGAAUAUGUUUGCUUCUCUUUAAAAUAUGAUUUUAUUUCGAAAUUCAGUGAAUAAUAUUGAGGUAUUGAUGUUGUAAAUUUAAUUAGCAUAUUUAAAACAUGCUAUUUCUGCAGAAAUGUAGUGGUGUGUGCCUUUUUUCACAGACAGACUGGAAUUCAACAACCUUUCUAACUCCUCAGUUUUAAGUGUUGAACCUGAAACCUGGGCUUGGAGAUAGACCCUUGGAAUUUUGGGGUCUCCAUGAUUCUAUAGAGCAGUCCCAAACACAGGGAGCUUCUCUAGGAUCGGAGUGGUUCUGCUUCUCAGAAAAUCGAAACUCAAAAAGCUUGUCAGAGAUCUCAGAUUUAUAACUAACUGUGCUGCUAAAUAUAAAAAUUAAGCAUAGGGAGGAAACUAGGUGUCUGUUCCUAGCUCUUUGAGGUUUUGAGAAUAAUUAUGUUCCAAACACUUAUACGGAAUAUUUAGUCAUUUUCAGAGGGAGACAAAUUAUACUCCAAAAUUGAAUGGUUGAUGGUAUUUUCAUGAUUGAUGCAACACUUUUCAAAGAUAUUAUGAAAUAGGGGCUUUGAUACUCUCCAACAGGUAUGUCACUUGCUCAAUGACAUGGUCUCAUUCCUAUGUAUGCACAGGUCCCCAGAGUCCUUGAGAAAUAACUUAGUAAGAGUUCCCAAGAACCAACCUCUGUUCUCUAGGAACGUUGCAUCAGAAAAAAUUUUUAAAGGUCUAGUUGAAGUAUAUGCAAUUAUUCUUUAAAAAAAAAAAAAAGGAACAGUUUAUGGGUAGUGGUCCAUACCAUUCUGUGAGCGUUCUCCCCACAGCCUCCUACACAGGUCUCACCCAUGAAAUAACAACGGUCAAGUGGCUUCCUACUGAUUGUUGUUCUGAGGUAUUUUCUAGGUUCUGGAUUAUUGGCCCUUGGUUUCUUCUGCAGUGUCUAUGAUCAUCUGUCUGGUGAGACCUGCAGGUGUUCCCAGGGCAAGAGAUACCUCAAGAGGGAUCUGCCUCCUGCUUACACAAGUUCCCACUGGCAAUGACAAUGAGCAGAGCUACCAGAAUAGUAGGUGGCUUUCUCUAGGGAACCUUGCCUGAUUCAACAAUUUGACUCUGGAGAGGGUGUCUCUCUCCCACACCUACCUUAGUUAGAUGGCUUAGACACAGAGUUCAUGUCACUGUUUCCAGGGGUUGCAUCACAUUCCUCCUAGAAAUCCCACAAAAUCUACCCACUAAAUAUGAGCGAAAGAGAGUCUGUUCAUGCUUGUAAUUUUCCUAGUCAAGGCCCAUAGUUUUUGGUCUGCAUGUAUGUGGUGUGGAUGUGUGUGUGGUUGCAUAUAUGCUGGGGAUGGGGCAAAGGAGUUUAUAUAAAUAACCUUAGGUGUUAUUCCUCAGGAGCUUUCCACACUGUUCUUUUAGAUAAGUUUUUCCACCGACCUGGAGCUUAGCCAGUCAUGUAGGCUGGCUGGCGAGCAAGCCUCAUGGAUUCUUCCAUCUCUACCUCCCCAGAACUACAAAAUAAUUCAAUUACUUGACCAAGUCUUGGGAGUGGUGGGCCCAGGAAUAACCCAGGUAGCUGCAGGUCCCCUAUCUUAAUGAUCUUAACAAUCAUACCUCUGUCACCAAGUGUAACAUGAUUUCAGGGUGGUUCAUUUGGAUUCUGAUGGGCUUUUCCAGAGAUUGCACUUGAUUCUAAGUGUGGGCAGGUCAUUUUGUAAACACUUGUAAGUGAUUCACCAAGAAGACUUUAUGAGCACAGCACACUAGGCAGACCUCAGGACUGGGCCAUCUCCUUGCUCCCUCUGCUUCCUUUACUCUGGACUUAGAUGACAUGUUCUCUUGUGCCCAUUUCCUUUUUCCUGGAAUAGAUUUUCUCAGAUAUCUCUCUUUCUAAUCUUUUCUUCCUCCUUCCUAUUUUCUGAAAUGAGAACAGCCAGUUUCUUGUUGGGCAUAGUGUAUGGAGCUGCAAGACUCAGGGACUCAAAAUUUAUGCUGCCUCCCUAAAGUGCUUGAAGACCUCCUGGUUUGGCCCAAACUACUCUCAUUGUUCUGCAAUAGAAUCAGGGGCACAUGAAUGAGGCUGGCUUUUAAUAGGAUGCUACUAUGUUCUCUAUGGACUUAGCCAGAAGCCCUGAUUUGUCCAGAUCUUAUUCAGUCUCACCUCCAGGUCAAAUAAGAUAUGAAAUACUGAUUCUAAUAUCUGAUAUAAAAAUAUAACCUGUUUUCAUUCUGAACUCCAUCUUCAGACUAUGUUCUGUCCAGAGGCCUGGAAUGGUGUUUAUCCGUUUGUCUUGAUAUAUGAAAAUUCUUGAAUCAUAUCUUGUUAUUGAUCUUGGCAGAAGUGAGUUUCAAAGUUAAGAGAGCAACAAGUGGUGUCAUGUUAUCAUGCAUUUGGCUACAUUUUGCCCAACCACUGAGAGAAGGGAUUUUUAGCCAGCUAUGAUUUAUUACCAUGAAGUCAAUUUGCACUUACCUUAAAAAAAAAAGUGACCUUUGAGACAGCUGAAUGUGUCAGUUGUUUAAACCAAGAACUAAAUCUGUGGACAAGUCUUACAUUUGACUUAUAUAUAUUAAACUUUGGACUCUCCAUUGACUUAAACAAACAAACAAACAAACAAACAAACAAAAAAAC